rnacentral:rRNA from 1 species
UACGAAGGACCCGAGCGUUAUCCGGAUUUAUUGGGUUUAAAGGGUGCGUAGGCGGUUUAGUAAGUCAGUGGUGAAAGCCCAUCGCUUAACGGUGGAACUGCCAUUGAUACUGCUAGUCUUGAGUAUGGUUGAGGUGGGCGGAAUGUGUCAUGUAGCGGUGAAAUGCUUAGAUAUGACACAGAACACCAAUUGCGAAGGCAGCUCGCUAACCCAUAACUGACGCUGAGGCACGAAAGCGUGGGGAGCAAACAGG